UAGCUCAGUUGGUAGAACAUGGCGUUUGCAACUCCAGGGUUGUGGGUUCGAUUCCCAC
rnacentral:tRNA from 1 species